rnacentral:rRNA from 1 species
AUUGAACGCUGGCGGCAGGCCUAACACAUGCAAGUCGAGCGAGCGGCGGACGGGUGAGUAAUGUCUGGGAAACUGCCUGAUGGAGGGGGAUAACUACUGGAAAAGGUAGCUAAUACCGCAUACCAUCGGAUGUGCCCAGAUGGGCUUAGCUAGUAGGGGGGGUAAAGGCUCACCUAGGCGACGAUCCCUAGCUGGGCUGAGAGGCUGACAAGCCAAACUGGAACUGAGACACGGCCCAGACUCCUAAGGGAGGCAGCAGUGGGGAAUAUUGCACAAUGGGCGCAAGCCUGAUGCAGCCAUGCCGCGUGUGUGAAGAAGGCCUUCGGGUUGUAAAGCACUUUCAGCGGGGAGGCGUUACCCGCAGAAUAAGCACCGGCUAACUCCGUGCCAGCAGCCGCGGUAAUUC